CCUACGGGGGGCAGCAGUGAGGAAUAUUGGUCAAUGGGCUUACGCCUGAACCAGCCAAGUCGCGUGAGGGAAGACUGCCCUAUGGGUUGUAAACCUCUUUUGUCAGGGAGCAACGCCGGCUACGUGUAGCCGGACUGUGAGUACCUGAAGAAAAAGCAUCGGCUAACUCCGUGCCAGCAGCCGCGGUAAUACGGAGGAUGCGAGCGUUAUCCGGUUUUAUUGGGUUUAAAGGGUGCGUAGGCGGAAUGCCAAGUCAGCGGUAAAAGCGCGGGGCUCAACCUCGCUCCGCCGUUGAAACUGGCGUUCUUGAGUGGGCGAGAAGUAUGCGGAAUGCGUGGUGUAGCGGUGAAAUGCAUAGAUAUCACGCAGAACUCCGAUUGCGAAGGCAGCAUACCGGCGCCCAACUGACGCUGAAGCACGAAAGCGUGGGUAUCGAACAGGAUUAGAUACCCGGGUAGUC
rnacentral:rRNA from 1 species